rnacentral:rRNA from 1 species
UACGUAGGGGGCAAGCGUUGUCCGGAUUCAUUGGGCGUAAAGAGCUCGUAGGCGGCUUGGCAAGUCGGGUGUGAAAACUUCAGGCUCAACCUGGAGCGGCCACUCGAUACUGCCAUGGCUUGAGUCCGGUAGGGGACCACGGAAUUCCUGGUGUAGCGGUGAAAUGCGCAGAUAUCAGGAGGAACACCGGUGGCGAAGGCGGUGGUCUGGGCCGGUACUGACGCUGAGGAGCGAAAGCGUGGGGAGCAAACAGG